GCUUCAGUGGCCCACUCCGGACCUCUGCCCAGCCUGCCAUGAGGAAAUUAAGGGCCUGGCCAGCUGGGAUGAAGGCCACGUGCUCACAUUCUUGAAGCAGCACUAUGGCCGCGACAACCUCUUAGACACGUAUUCCGCAGACCAGGGGGAUUCCAGUGAAGGAGGAACCCUGGCCAGGGGUGAGGAAGAGGAGAAAAGACUCACUCCCCCAGAGGUGUCCCAUGGAGACCGAGACACCCAGAGCGUCCGUCCACCUGGUGCACUGGGCCCCAGGCCUGCCCUUCCAGAGAGCUUGCAUCACAGCUUGGACGGGAAACUCCAGAGUCUGGAUGGGCCCGGGGCCCACAAGGAGGUGGGCGGGGCCGCACCCUUCCUCGGGGUUGACUUCUCCAGCCUGGACAUGAGUCUCUGUGUCGUGCUGUACGUGGCUUCAUCCCUGUUCCUCAUGGUGAUGUACUUCUUCUUCCGGGUGAGGUCCAGGCGGUGGAAGGUCAAGCACCACCACCCGGCCGUGUGAGUGCCCGGGUGCUGCCAGCCACGGCGGAAGCUCCCUUGGAGGCAGCCCUGCCCCGUGCCACCUGCAGCUUUAAUAUUUAUGAUCAGGGAUUUUAUAAACAUGCGGGCCUGGUUUCACAUCGGAUGGCACCUUUUGGCUUCAAAGUCCUGGUUUUACAAACGCUCUUCUAACAAGGGAAGAACACGGGGUAAUUUUGUGGGGAUAUUUGCAUUCCUGGCGUACUCAAGUCUGUUCAUGCUCCUUUUGCAGGUCUUACAGCAAAAAGACUUCUGUAUUUUUACUCUUCUAGAUGUGAAAAGAGGGUGCAGAGUCCAGGCCAGAUAGUCUUCCCCACACACUUUCAUCUCGUUUCCUCCACUCCGCCCCAUCCUGCAGGGCCUUGUUUUUGUAUUUGGAGAACCUCGCCCAUCCCCCCCGCGGCUCCUGGCUCCCCCCCACUCCCCUCGCUCCCCCUCCCCCCGCUCCCCCCACGCCCCCUGCUCCAGGCUGCCAAGUGUUUUCCUUUAGCCGGGCGGGGACAGACAGAGCCGGAAGCGCAGUCGGCCUCUGCAGCCCCUCCAAGCAAGUGCUCCAGGGACUAUCCUGUGUUUGUAGCUGCUUCCCUAGGGCAGGUUCCUGAGGGCUCUCCUUGUUCCUCCGGGUGUUCGACACCAGACGUGGGGAUUUCAACAGGGGAGGAGCCAAGGAAUUCUGUGGCUGUGCUGCGUUUCAGAAAAUAACCCCCAGAGGCCUUGGGCUGUGGACCUGGGGGUUGGAAGGAUGGGGGCUCAUUUAACCCUCAGAGGCAGCGCCUUUGUCUGUCUAUCUGGUGACAAGAGAGAGACAAGUAAAUGGGGGCCGUUGGGACGGCGGGUGCCUGGAGGGCAGCUCUGGGCUCAGCGGGCAGUGCUUAGAGCACAGGCCCCUCUGUUGGGGGAUGGGGAGGAGAGCAGUCUGCCCUUGGGAGCGUAGGCCCCAGGGAGACUUCUAAAGCCCCCCCUGUCGUCUGCUCUUCACCCAGCACCACAGAGGCACCUGCUGCACACACAAGCAUCUCACUCGGCCCACGGAGGGGGCCAGGCUUCCUUUGCCUGAAGCUGUUUUGGGAAGGGUCUCCACACAGGCACUGAUCUCCCAAGCUUUUGUCAUGAUGUCUUUUACCAUUUGAUAAUUUUAAACAUUGUUUUUAAACCCAAAACAUUUAGUGGUCCGUUGCCUCUGAAGAUGUAAACAAACAAAUACACUAUUUCUGGGAACAUUUAUAUUGAGAUUCUUUGUGGCUAUUGGUGUGUCUCACAGGCAAAAUUUGAUUUGGCUAAAAUAGGCUCAGAUGUAUUUGUGUGCCCGUGUGUGUGUGUGUGUGUGUGUGUGUGUGU
rnacentral:lncRNA from 1 species